CCCUGCAGCUCUGCACAGGAGCCCAGCCCUGGACUCCAGCUCAUCCCACUCAGUGGUCAGGACUCAACACAGGCUGCUCACCAUGGACUGUGUGCUCACCUGGGUUUUCCUUGUGGCUGUUUUCAAAGGUGUGCAGUGUGACGUGCAGCUGGUGGAGUCUGGGGGAGGCCUGGUGCAGCCUGGGGGGUCCCUGCAACUCUCCUGUGCAGCCUCUGGAUUCACCUUCAGUAGCUACACGAUGUACUGGGUCCGCCAGGCUCCAGGGAAGGGGCUGGAGUGGCUUGGGUAUAUUAGCAGUGGUGGUAGCACCUACUACCCAGACUCUGUGAAAGGCCGGUUCACCUUCUCCAGAGACAACUCCAAGAACAUGCUGUACCUGCAAAUGAGCAGCCUGAGAACCGAGGACACGGCCACCUAUUACUGUGCUAGAGACACAAACCAGCACCACAUGAUUGACACGAAGGUCUGCCACUAUUUGGAGCACUAG